rnacentral:rRNA from 1 species
UGCCUGACGUAGACGCUAUUCCCUAAGAUUAACCCAUGCAUGUUUUUGAAGAUUAUUAUCUGAAAAAUGGACUGCUCAGUAAUACUCACUUUAUUUUAUGUGCACCGCAGAUAACUACGUUAAAGUGUAGAUAACAUGUGUACAGUAAGAGUGAGACCUAUCAGCUAGUUGUUAAGGUAAUGGCUUAACAAGGCAGUGACGGGUAACGGUAUUACUUUGUAAUAUUCCGGAGAAGGAGCCUGAGAGACGGCUACUAAGUCUAAGGAUUGCAGCAGGGGCGAAACUUGACCUAUGGAUUUUAUCUGAGGCAGUUAUGGGAAGUAAUAUAUUAUUGUUUCAUAUUUUAAAAAUAUAUGAGGUGAUUAAUUGGAGGGCAAAUCAAGUGCCAGCAGCCGCGGUAAUACUUGUUCCAAGAGUGUGUAUG